UCCGAUAUGGUGUAACGGCUAACAUUGCCGCCUUUCAGCGUUCUGGCACUUACGUAAGUUUGCCUUUACACUGUACCGGGCGCGGCAGCUCGGGGUUCGAUUCCCCGUAUCGGAG